GAUGAACGCUGGCGGCGUGCCUAAUACAUGCAAGUCGAGCGAACAGACGAGGAGCUUGCUCCUCUGACGUUAGCGGCGGACGGGUGAGUAACACGUGGAUAACCUACCUCUAAGACUGGGAUAACUUCGGGAAACCGGAGCUAAUACCGGAUAAUAUAUUGAACCGCAUGGUUCAAUAGUGAAAGACGGUUUUGCUGUCACUUAUAGAUGGAUCCGCGCCGCAUUAGCUAGUUGGUAAGGUAACGGCUUACCAAGGCAACGAUGCGUAGCCGACCUGAGAGGGUGAUCGGCCACACUAGAACUGAGACACGGUCCAGACUCCUACGGGAGGCAGCAGUAGGGAAUCUUCCGCAAUGGGCGAAAGCCUGACGGAGCAACGCCGCGUGAGUGAUGAAGGUCUUCGGAUCGUAAAACUCUGUUAUUAGGGAAGAACAAAUGUGUAAGUAACUAUGCACGUCUUGACGGUACCUAAUCAGAAAGCCACGGCUAACUACGUG
rnacentral:rRNA from 1 species